UUUUUUUUUUUUUUUCUUUUGGUCUCCUUUUUCCUUUGACUUCCUCAGAUCACCCUGAGUAAAUACCUGUUACUGCAGCUAUCAGAACUAAUGAAAUAAGAAGCUUGUUCCCAAAUUGCAUAGUCUGAUCUUAUUAAACCCAAAGACUCAGAUGUGUUCUUUACUUUUGGUUCACUUUUCAGUGUGCUCCCUUACACUGGGGAGUAGCAGCUCCCCAGGAAGGUUCUUCAGGAGCAUCAUGACACUGAAGAAACAAACACACAUUUGUGCCCACAGUGAAAUCUGGUGCAUCACCUGACUCUUGUCUUUGUUGACUUCUGCUGACGAGAGUUAGGGCAAUAGUUACUGACAUAUUCCUGGUCCCAGCUUUUUCAGUAACUAUGUUCCCUUGCUUUUCAUGGCUUUCUAAACAUCAUUUGCCCACGUUGGGUUUUAUUUUCUGGUAUGUUUUAUUGCCCUACUUUCAGUGUUUUCUUCCUCUAAAAAUAGAUAAAUGCAGUAAAUAUUUUGAAAAAUACAUGAAAAGCAUUCAUUCAAUGUGAAUUAGUAAAAUGUGACUUCAGGGGAAAAGAAAGUCAAAGGUGUUUGCUAAACAACCCUCCUUGUUUUUCUGUUUAUGUAUCAUUCAUUUGGUGUGUAUAAUUUUAAUGAGCGAUCUCUCUGCAUGUAGGAAUAUGGUGCUGCAGUAUUUUAAAAGAAAAAUAGGCAAAGUUAAAAUCAAUAGCACCUUGUUUUAGUCCCCUCUCAUCACAUUUCAGCAGAUCAUUCUCUGAUUUAUAUCUAUGAUAUUUCUCUGACUGGAGGGCAGCUAUGGAACUGCUAGAUUGGGAUUUGCCUCUAUUGUCUACCUCUACUGUCUCACAAUCUGACUUCAUCAAAGCCAAUGUUGCUUCAUAAAUGUCAAAAUAAACAUGAUUAGAAAAGCCUGUUAUUCCACAAAUUAGAUAUUUAGUUUAUGGAGAAAAUUAAAAAGUUAAUGAGAAAAAUACUUGGUUCAAUAACAUGUCAAUUAUUUCCUGACAUUCUAUGCUUGUUAGAAAAAGGUGAGGAGGCUGUGUUUUAAUGAAGGAUUAAUUUGAUUUUUAAAUCCUUAGUUAGUUCAAGACUUCCCUGCUGUUCACAAAAACAUUCUUAAUCCUACAAUGGAGCUGAAUGAGCUUUUAAAGGCUGACAGAAAUAUCCUGGGUUGGCUGCACAUUAUUUUUUUGGAGUCUUAUAAGGCAACUGGAACCAACUUUUUGUCUAAAGUGUAAUUACAUGAUGAAGAGGGGGGAGAGUUUCAAUGCUGCUUUCUUUCCAAAUUAAAUGGUCACUUGUAAAACAUUGGCUUUUUUCCUGUUUAAAUUUAAUAAUGCCAUUGCUUUAGUGGUCAUCAAUCCUUUAGAGACACUGACUCCAGACUGAACUCCUUGGGGAACAAUCCCAGCUGUCAGAGGUAAAUCACAACAAUCUUCAUUGCUCUGUGUUCAAACAGAGAUCACGCUGAGGGUGUGCUAAUUCCAAGUGAGAGUUAGAUCUGGAUUGCUGCAGAAGUGCUAGAAAAUCCUGUCACAGAUGCUGAAUUUCUUAUAUCCUAUGUUUUCUUCUCCUUUUCUUAAAUAAAAACCUUUGAACUCAAGUUUUCUUAUGAAAGUAUAAGAAGCAAUAUAUAGUAAACAGGAGAGAAUUAAUUUCAUUAAAUACAGAAUCAGUUUCUUCUACAGAAAAAAUAUAUUGAGAAAAAUAAUCUGCACACAGGUAUACUCUGAACAUAAGAUCUGCAGAAUUACUGUCAGAGAAUCACUGGGGAUGGAUGGCACCUCUGGAGACCAUCUACUCUGACACCCUGCUAAGAGCACAGUCAACAACAGCAGCCGUUUGGGGUUUUUCUUGCUUUUUUUCCCCACUGCUUUUUACUUCUCCAGUACACUCAGAGCCGCUGACAGUCUAAAAUGUGCCAACUCACAAACAGUCUAGAUAAAUGAAAAACAUUACCUCAAUUAUAUCCCCUUACUGCAAAAGUCCUCUAUUUUUGUCUUUUUUGUCUGCACAGCUGAAAAACUUAGGAAAAGAACGAUGGUUUUUUCUCUAAUGAGCAAUGUCUUUUAUGUACUGCAAGCAUGUUAGCUGUAAUAGUAUUUGAUCAAGAUUUCUCUUUUGUAAGUAUGUGAGGUGGUAUAAUGUUAUCAAAGUAUCUAUAAAAGUGAUUAUUGAUGUAGCCAUGAAGAGCAAAGGUACACUGUUAAAUUUUGCCUAGCUCCAUAUCUGUUCAGGA
rnacentral:lncRNA from 1 species